UUUUGCUAUUUAUUUUUUCUCAGACAUCACUAAUUAAACGAGUUUAGGUUAGACUCUGGCAGGCACUCGCCAGCUAAAAGCCGGCGGCAGGUCAAACCUGCUGGUCCGCCAAAGCAACAAUGUGGUAAGGUUCACAAUGGGUGGGAGACGCGUGGGCAAAGCCCUAGACGAAAUCUCGGUAAUGAUCCUUCCGCAGGUUCACCUACGGAAA
rnacentral:misc_RNA from 1 species